UACGUAGGGUGCGAGCGUUGUCCGGAAUUAUUGGGCGUAAAGAGCUUGUAGGCGGUUUGUCGCGUCUGCCGUGAAAAUUCGAGGCUCAACCUCGAACUUGCGGUGGGUACGGGCAGACUAGAGUGUGGUAGGGGAGACUGGAAUUCCUGGUGUAGCGGUGAAAUGCGCAGAUAUCAGGAGGAACACCGAUGGCGAAGGCAGGUCUCUGGGCCACUACUGACGCUAAGAAGCGAAAGCAUGGGGAGCGAACAGG
rnacentral:rRNA from 1 species